UGGGGAAUAUUGCACAAUGGGCGAAAGCCUGAUGCAGCGACGCCGCGUGAGGGAUGACGGCCUUCGGGUUGUAAACCUCUUUCAGUAGGGACGAAGCGCAAGUGACGGUACCUGCAGAAGAAGCACCGGCUAACUACGUGCCAGCAGACGCGGUAAUACGUAGGGUGCGAGCGUUGUCCGGAAUUACUGGGCGUAAAGAGCUCGUAGGCGGUUUGUCACGUCGUCUGUGAAAUCCUAGGGCUUAACCCUGGACGUGCAGGCGAUACGGGCUGACUUGAGUACUACAGGGGAGACUGGAAUUUCUGGUGUAGCGGUGGAAUGCACAGAUAUCAGGAAGAACACCGAUGGCGAAGGCAGGUCUCUGGGUAGUAACUGACGCUGAGGAGCGAAAGCAUGGGUAGCGAACAGG
rnacentral:rRNA from 1 species